rnacentral:rRNA from 1 species
GAGUGAACGCUAGCGGCAGGCUUAACACAUGCAAGUCGAGGGGCGAUCGCGGUGGGCAACACCUGGCGGCGACCGGCGAACGGGUGAGUAACGCGUGAGCAACAUGUCCUCAGUCGGGGGAUAAGCGAGGGAAACUUACGUCUAAUACCCCAUAACACUUUCAGGCGCAUGCCUUUAAGUUGAAAGCUUUUUUGCGACUUUGGUUUGGCUCGCGUGACAUUAGCUAGUCGGUGGGGUAACGGCUCACCGAGGCUACGAUGUCUAGGGGUUCUGAGAGGAAGGCCCCCCACAUUGGGACUGGGACACGGCCCAAACUCCUACGGGAGGCAGCAGUGAGGAAUAUUGGUCAAUGGACGGAAAGUCUGAACCAGCCAUGCCGCGUGAAGGAAGACUGCCCUAUGGGUUGUAAACUUCUUUUGCAGCAGAGCAAUAAGGCGUACGCGUACGCCGAUGAGAGUAUGUUGUGAAUAAGCAUCGGCUAACUCCGUG